rnacentral:lncRNA from 1 species
UUUUUUUUAAUCAUUUUUUGUUUGAGUCAAAGUGCCCUUUGUAGUUUUCACAUUGGUCCUUCCUUCUUCUUUAAACGAAGUGUUUAUUAACUGGAUCUGAGUUUAUAGGAUUGGCAAUCUCACUCAGGAUCAGUGCUCCUCUGAAAAUGGUCUUCUUUACAACAUAGGGACAUUCCUGGUUUGGCAUUCAUUUCCCUUUAGAAUCCUUUCGUUAAAGGAGAAUAUUUUUC